rnacentral:rRNA from 1 species
UUUAAACUGGUUUGGGAAAACCAAAUAUAUUAUAUAUUUUGCUUUGUUCAAAAUAAGGUUUUCUAAUAAAUUAUGUUUUUAUCAGAUAUGACAGAAUCUUUUUUAAAAUCUCUUCAAUAUGCUUUUAUUGCUUUUGAGAGGUUUUGUUACUUUGAGUAAAAUUAAGUGUUCAUAACAGACGGGUAGUCAUGAUUGAGUUCAUUGUGU